GGUCCCUGGAGACGCCGGAGGAGAUUUCCGUGACAACGGCAAGCUGGCUGCAACGAAGCCGCCCACGUAGGCCUCCCCGGCCUGCUGGAGGAGAGGGGAUCCCCCGGGGCAGAGGCGGCUACACCCGGAGAACCCGGAAACCGGAAGCGCAGAUCCUGCCGGCUCUGGACUAGCCGCUCAGCACCAGGGCGGAAGGAAGACGAGGCGAGGCAAGCGCCAAGCUUCCAUCCGGACUUCAAGGCCAGUGGCUGGGUCUGGUUUUCUCAACACGGCCUCCUAGUCUCCUUCCCGCUUGGGCAUCUGUUUUUCUUAUAUAGACCCUGAAGCCGCCCGUGAUGUUCUGUAAGCAGGUUCCGCUUCAGAAUCAGAGGUACUUAAGAGGGAACCUGGAUGCUAGACCUGCCCUUGCUGCUGGCCUCAGUUUCUUUACCUGUAAAACAGGGAUUUUGGAACUGUUAAAUUAAAUCAAACUUAAAAGAAUUACAACUUAAAGCUGCUGGAACUUUACAUGAUCCCGAGCCUUGAGAGGAAUGUGGCUAUGCAGCCUGAGUCAUGUGGCAUGCAGAUGCAACCUCUGCCUUUUUCCGCUGUAAAUAAUUAAGAAGACCAAGUAGCAUCCAAGGUAAGACCCCUUUAGAUCAUUGUCCCUCCUCACAGUCAUAAUCUUCCUUGGAAUGUAGCAAUCUGAAACCAACCACAUCGUUGUAGGUAUGCAACUUGCAUGCAC
rnacentral:lncRNA from 10 species